AGAAGUCCAAGGAUCUUAGGCUGCAAACUGCCGUAUAUGUCCCUGGCUCUGCACACAAAAAAUAAGUAUACAGACCUUGAAAGUACAAAAGUGAGCAACAUGUGGAUCUACAUAAACAAAGAAAAAAAUACUACCUGACUUGUAAAACUCAAGAACUUCUAAAUGCAUCAACCUGGCCAGUUUAACUCCCUUCCCAGUCAGUGCCGUUGACACAGUCCAGUCUCGUCAAGAACAACAAGACUGGCACUCCUCGUGUGCCCUGGGGCCCAGGCUUGGUUUGAAGCUGGGAACCCUGGCCUGGGCCUCCCAGGGUUUCAGAGGUAAUGGUGACAUGGCCAGUGUUCUGCUUCUGCACCCAUCUGAAUUCCAGGUUCUUUGUAUCAUCUGAAUUCAUUAUCCACAAUCAACAUUAUAAACCAAUCAAGCUAGCAACAAAGUCUAAAAUAUAGCAGUGAGAAACUAAGAAAUCUACGCCUGGACCAAUAUAUUAGGACCAAAAGUUUCUAAAUAAAGUAGACCUGAUUCAGGAAG
rnacentral:lncRNA from 1 species